AUUAGGUUGGUGCAAAAGUAAUCACAGUUUUUGCCAUUGAAAGUUAGUGGCAAAAGCAGCGAUUACUUCUGCACCAACCUAAUA
ensembl:miRNA